GUCUGUGGCCAUGCAACCCUGAACAAGCUCGAUCUUGUCUGAUUUCAGAAGCUAAGCAGGGUCUGGCCUGGUUAGUACUUGAAUGGGAGAUCACCUAGGAAGACCAGAUGCUGUAGGCA
rnacentral:rRNA from 1 species